GAUGAACGCUGACAGAAUGCUUAACACAUGCAAGUCAACUUGAACUUCGGUUUGGGUGGCGGACGGGUGAGUAACGCGUAAAGAACUUGCCUCGCAGCUAGGGACAACAUUUGGAAACGAAUGCUAAUACCUGAUAUUAUGAUUUUAGGGCAUCCUAGAAUUAUGAAAGCUAUAUGCGCUGUGAGAGAGCUUUGCGUCCCAUUAGCUAGUUGGAGAGGUAACGGCUCACCAAGGCGAUGAUGGGUAGCCGGCCUGAGAGGGUGAACGGCCACAAGGGGACUGAGACACGGCCCUUACUCCUACGGGAGGCAGCAGUGGGGAAUAUUGGACAAUGGACCAAGAGUCUGAUCCAGCAAUUCUGUGUGCACGAUGAAGUUUUUCGGAAUGUAAAGUGCUUUCAGUUGGGAAGAAAAAAAUGACGGUACCAACAGAAGAAGUGACGGCUAAAUACGUG
rnacentral:rRNA from 1 species